AAUCUUAGACAAUGGAGGCAACCCUGAUCUAGCCAGGCCGCGUGAGUGAUGAAGGCCCUAGGGUUGUAAAGCUCUUUCAGCUUGGAAGAUAAUGACGGGAGCAGCAGAAGAAUUACCGGCCAACUCAGUGCCAGCAGCCACGGUAAAACGGAGAGGACUAGCGUUGAUCGGAAUUACUGGGCGUAAAGCGCACGUAGGCGGAUCGGAAAGUUGGGGGUGAAAUCCCGGGGCUCAACCCCGGAACUGCCUUCAAAACUAUCGGUCUGGAGUUCGAGAGAGGUGAGUGGAAUUCCGAGUGUAGAGGUGAAAUUCGUAGAUAUUCGGAGGAACACCAGUGGCGAAGGCGGCUCACUGGCUCGAUACUGACGCUGAGGUGCGAAAGCGUGGGGAGCAAACA
rnacentral:rRNA from 1 species